GGGUUGUGAGGUUAAGCGACUAAGCGUACACGGUGGAUGCCCUGGCAGUCAGAGGCGAUGAAGGACGUGCUAAUCUGCGAUAAGCGCCGGUAAGGUGAUAUGAACCGUUAUAACCGGCGAUUUCCGAAUGGGGAAACCCAGUGUGAUUCGUCACACUAUCAUUACGUGAAUACAUAGCGUAAUGAAGCGAACCGGGGGAACUGAAACAUCUAAGUACCCCGAGGAAAAGAAAUCAACCGAGAUUCCCCCAGUAGCGGCGAGCGAACGGGGAGCAGCCCAGAGUCUGAAUCAGCAUGUGUGUUAGUGGAACGGUCUGGAAAGUCCGACGGUACAGGGUGAUAGUCCCGUACACAAAAAUGCACCUGUUGUGAACUCGAAGAGUAGGGCGGGACACGUGGUAUCCUGUCUGAAUAUGGGGGGACCAUCCUCCAAGGCUAAAUACUCCUGACUGACCGAUAGUGAACCAGUACCGUGAGGGAAAGGCGAAAAGAACCCCGGCGAGGGGAGUGAAAAAGAACCUGAAACCGUGUACGUACAAGCAGUGGGAGCACCUUCGGGUGUGACUGCGUACCUUUUGUAUAAUGGGUCAGCGACUUAUAUUCUGUAGCAAGGUUAACCGUAUAGGGGAGCCGAAGGGAAACCGAGUCUUAACUGGGCGUUAAGUUGCAGGGUAUAGACCCGAAACCCGGUGAUCUAGCCAUGGGCAGGUUGAAGGUUGGGUAACACUAACUGGAGGACCGAACCGACUAAUGUUGAAAAAUUAGCGGAUGACUUGUGGCUGGGGGUGAAAGGCCAAUCAAACCGGGAGAUAGCUGGUUCUCCCCGAAAGCUAUUUAGGUAGCGCCUCGUGAAUUCAUCUUCGGGGGUAGAGCACUGUUUCGGCUAGGGGGUCAUCCCGACUUACCAACCCGAUGCAAACUGCGAAUACCGAAGAAUGUUAUCACGGGAGACACACGGCGGGUGCUAACGUCCGUCGUGAAGAGGGAAACAACCCAGACCGCCAGCUAAGGUCCCAAAGUCAUGGUUAAGUGGGAAACGAUGUGGGAAGGCACAGACAGCCAGGAUGUUGGCUUAGAAGCAGCCAUCAUUUAAAGAAAGCGUAAUAGCUCACUGGUCGAGUCGGCCUGCGCGGAAGAUGUAACGGGGCUAAACCAUGCACCGAAGCUGCGGCAGCGACACUAUGUGUUGUUGGGUAGGGGAGCGUUCUGUAAGCCGUUGAAGGUGGCCUGUGAGGGUUGCUGGAGGUAUCAGAAGUGCGAAUGCUGACAUAAGUAACGAUAAUGCGGGUGAAAAACCCGCACGCCGGAAGACCAAGGGUUCCUGUCCAACGUUAAUCGGGGCAGGGUGAGUCGACCCCUAAGGCGAGGCCGAAAGGCGUAGUCGAUGGGAAACAGGUUAAUAUUCCUGUACUUGGUGUUACUGCGAAGGGGGGACGGAGAAGGCUAUGU
rnacentral:rRNA from 1 species